rnacentral:pre_miRNA from 1 species
UUUGUACUUCCUCCGUCCGAAAAUACUUGUCUUAGAAAUGGUUGUAUCUAGACUUAUUUUAAUUAUAGAUAUAUCCAUUCUAUCUAUUUCUAGGAUAAGUACAUCCGGACCAAGGGAGUACUAG